rnacentral:rRNA from 1 species
GACGAACGCUGGCGGCGUGCUUAACACAUGCAAGUCGAGCGAUGAAAUUCCUUCGGGAGUGGAUUAGCGGCGGACGGGUGAGUAACACGUGGGUAACCUGCCUCAUAGAGGGGAAUAGCCUUUCGAAAGGAAGAUUAAUACCGCAUAAGAUUGUAGCUUCGCAUGAAGUAGCAAUUAAAGGAGUAAUCCGCUAUGAGAUGGACCCGCGUCGCAUUAGCUAGUUGGUGAGGUAACGGCUCACCAAGGCGACGAUGCGUAGCCGACCUGGGAGGGUGAUCGGCCACAUUGGGACUGAGACACGGCCCAGACUCCUACGGGAGGCAGCAGUGGGGAAUAUUGCACAAUGGGGGAAACCCUGAUGCAGCAACGCCGCGUGAGUGAUGACGGUCUUCGGAUUGUAAAGCUCUGUCUUCAGGGACGAUAAUGACGGUACCUGAGGAGGAAGCCACGGCUAACUACGUGCCAGCAGCCGCCGUAA